rnacentral:rRNA from 1 species
CCAGCUCCAAUAGCGUAUAUUAAAGUUGUUGCAGUUAAAAAGCUCGUAGUUGAAUUUCUGGCGGAGUCGGCCUGUCCUUCACUUGGUGUUGGCACUUGGUUGGUUCUCCGCCCUCCUUGGCCGGAGCCAGCGUGGCAUUUGGUUGUCGGGCUGGGGACGGUCAUCGUUUACUGUGAAGAAAUUAGAGUGUUCAAAGCAGGCUUAGGCCUUGGAUACAUUAGCAUGGAAUAAUGAAAUAGGGUUUCGGCACUAUUUUGUUGGUUUGCGCACCGAAACAAUGAUUAAUAGGGACAGUUGGGGGUAUUCGUAUUCAAUUGUCAGAGGUGAAAUUCUUGGAUUUCUGGAAGACGAACGACUGCGAAAGCAUUUACCAAGGAUGUUUUCG